rnacentral:rRNA from 1 species
CAGUAGCCGCGGUAAUACGAAGGGUGCAAGCGUUAAUCGGAAUUACUGGGCGUAAAGCGUGCGUAGGCGGUUUGUUAAGUCUGUUGUGAAAUCCCCGGGCUCAACCUGGGAAUGGCGGUGGAUACUGGCUCGCUAGAGUGUGUCAGAGGAUGGUGGAAUUCCCGGUGUAGCGGUGAAAUGCGUAGAGAUCGGGAGGAACACCGAUGGCGAAGGCAAUCCCCUGGGCCUGCACUGACGCUCAUGCACGAAAGCGUGGGGAGCAAACAGGAUUAGAUACACCCGUAGUCCCUGUCUCUUAUAC